rnacentral:lncRNA from 1 species
AGUGUGAGAUGACGGGACCAGAGCACGUUCCUGGCUGCAGAGGCCACAAGUCACGCUGUCUCUGAGAGUGGAAUGUCACCAUCGCCCAGGUGGGGAUUUUUGUGUGUUUUGUUCACUGCUGUACACCCAGCCCCCAGCACAGCGCCUGUCCAGGACAAGUGCCCAGUAAACACUUGGGAAGCAAUGCAAGCGUCCUCCCAGCAGCUCCUGCAAACAGACCCCCGACCCAAGCCCUUCCUUCUGCCUCCACUGCCACCACUGCUGCUCAUCUCUGCUGGCACAGAAGUCUCUUCCCUGGUCUUCCAGAAAUCCCCUCUCCACACUCAGCCAGAGGGAGCUAUUAAAACUGUGGGCCAGCCCACAUCAGUCCACAGCAAAGUCCUCUCUAAGGGAUCUCUGUUGCUUGGAGAAUAAACCCUCGGAUUCCUUCCUUGGCUCUCGGGGCCUCCUCUCUGACCUCCCUCUGUCUCCUCUCCCAGCCUUCCUCCUCACUCACCCUCCAGCCAUGCUGGCUUCCUCCUUGCUCCUGAAACAGCCUGAGGCCCACACUGCCCCGGGCCCUUUGCACUGGCUGUUUCCUCUGCCUGGAACACUUCUCCUAGGCAUCCACAGGGCUCCCUCCCACAACUCCUUCGGGUGCCCACAUGGGAAGCCAUCCCUGACCACCCCCCCGACUUCCUUCUGAGCAAGGUAGGGUCUUUCUACCUAGUCAUGAGGGCAGGGAUUUUUGUCUGUUGUGUUCUCUGUGUGCCCCCAGUGCCAUCCCAGUGCCUGGCAGAUGGUAAGUGCUCGACACACAUUGGCUGACUGCCUGAAUGAACAACUCUAUGAGCCGAUGGCAGAUAAGGACACUGAGGUCCUCUGGGGUAGGUGACCAGCCCAAGGCCACACAGCUGGUCUGAGAUUAGGCCAGGAGAGGAGCCCGGGUUGGUCACAUCCUGGAGUUGGCGUCUUGGAAACUGCAUCAGGAGAAUAACAAAGAUGAGACGCAGGCUCUAACAAGUGGAUACCAGUGACUCUCGCCCCGCCAGCCCCAGCCCUGCAGCCUUGGGCCCUUCCAGGAGUCAUGGUCUGCCUGCCUGGGGCAUUCCAGGCUUCGACCCAGGUCCUGCACUUUCUAUUUUGAGCCUCUUAGUCCUGAGGACUGUGUGUUCCCAGCAGGCGGCGCGGGCCAGAGGCUGAGCCUGGGUGUGGCUGUCACCCUAUCUGGGGCCAGAGACCCAGAUUCCCGGGCCCUUAACCUGUUGGCUGCUGAGGGCUCUGGCAUAAGCCCUGUUCCCUGCUUGAUUGUCUCCCCUUCAAGCCCCUGCCCUGGUAUCGUAUCGGCCCAUCUCACCUUGGAUUAUAUCCCUGUUUGGCCCCAUUUGAAUCCUGGCUCUGCCCCUUUCCAGCAAUGUGACCUUGGGCAAGUCACUUCAUCUCUCUGGGUCUCAGUUUCUUCAUCUGGGAAAUGGGGACAAUAAGAGUACCUGUCUCUGGCCAUGUGUGGUGACUCAUGCCUGUAACCCCAGCGCUUUGGGAAGCCGAGGCGAGAGAAUUGCUUGAGACCAGGAGUUUGAGAUCAGCCCUGGGCAACAUAGUGAGACCCCUGUCUCUACAAAAUUCUAAAAAAAUUAGCCGGGUGUGGUGGUGUGUGCCUGUAGUCCCAGCUAUUCUAGAGGCUGAGGCGGGAGGAUUGCUUGAGCCCAGGAGUUUGAGGCUGCAGUGAGCUAUGAUUAUGCCCCUGCACAUCAGCCUGGGUGAUAGAUUGAGGCCCCAUCUCUAAAAAUAACAAUACUAAUAAUAAAUAAAAAUGAAAAUGAGUACCUGUCUUCUGGGGUUGCAGAGGAGAUUCAAUGUGAUGAAAUUGAUGAGAGUGCCCUGCAGGGAGCCGGAAACUCAGGGAGCAUCGAUAAUGAGUCCCCCACCAUCAGCAGCUGGCUUAAAUAUAAAAACUGUCAUGGCCUCUGGAGAAAUGACAAGAAUUCGAAGGAGCUUCCCUGCACUGGCCACCCUACACCCUACACCCUUACUUCCUCCCCUCAACUUGCCUGGAUUUAUCGACCCCCACUACCCCACUGGUUGCCUUCUCUCCACCUGGCACAUUUCGUAUGAAUUUGCUUGUUGGUUCUUGCCUAUCUCCCCAGUAGAACAUUAGCUCCUUCAGGACAGGGACUUUUGUCUACCUUAUGCACCUAGUGCAAUGCCUGGCACACAGUCGGUGCUUAAUAAAUGUUUCUUAAAAGAACCAAUAAAUGAAUAGUGACCUCUCCGGGGAGAGGAGCCCUGAGCUCACCUCCUGCCCCCAGCCCAGGGCUCUUAGGUGCUUGUUGGUGUCAGGCCCAGGCCCCCCUCUCAUCAAGCAGCCAAUAAAACUGCCCUGGUUGGCGUUCUCAUUUCACAGAUGGAGAGACUGAGCCCAGAGAGGGAGAGUCACCUGUCUGAUGUCACACAGAGGUCAGCAUCUGGGCUGGGAUUCCAGCCCAGGACCAUGUGGGGUGGGGGGCAGUGGAUCAAUCUUUUCCUGGAGGGAGUCAAUGGUGAUGGUGGGAAUGGGUCAGGGGUGCUGGCAAGGAGGGUCCAAGGCCCCCAGGAGGGAGGGAGGCAUGGGAGAUGAGUUUGUCCCUCUUGAGUUCUGUCUCUCUCUGUGUCUCUCUGUUUCUGCCUCUUUCUGUCUCCUUGUAUUUCUCAGUCCCUGUCUUCGUCUAUACCUCUUUCUCUCUUCCUUGUGUAUCUGACCCACUGCCCAGGAGGGGAUGCAGGCAGAGACCCCUGGCUUGGGUCCUGGAGUUGGGGCCCACGAGGGGAUUGACAUCUGGGGUUGAGCUGGGAAUCUGAAGCCAGACCCUGCAGCCAGGGACAGCAUUCCAGUCUCGGCUCCACACUCCAGGGAUAGCCUUGGAACGCCAGGCAGUUCAGAGAGCCUGAGGUCUGGUCUUGGAGACCUGGGUUCCAAUCCCAGCUUUGCCACAUUCCAGCCAUGUGGCCUUGGGCCCUUAGCCUUUGUUCCUGUAAAAUGGGACCACUGAGAGCCCGAUCUCAGGGUUUUAUGAGGAGGAACGAUGAGAGGGCUGUGCUGGGCUUCCUGAAGCCCUGUGUGGCCUGGAAAGCACUCAAUAGAUGAUAACUCAGUGUAAUGAUUUCUUCUAGCAGAUGGGGAAAGCGAGAGUUAAAGAGGCCCGAUCAUUUCACUCACUCAUUCCUCAAACGUUAUUAAGCACCUGCUAUGCACCAGGUGCUUUGUUUUGUAUCCAUUAACUCAGGGUUCAGCAAACUACAGCCUCCAGGCCAAAUCUGGUUCACAGCCUGUUUUUAUAAAUAAAGUUUUAUUGGCACACAGUAUGCCCAUUCAUUUACAUAUUGUCCACAGCUGCCUUUACCCUACAACUGCAAUGUUGAGCAGUUGUGAGAGAGACCUUAAAACCCACAAAGCUGAACAUAUGAACUCUCUGGACAUUUACAGUAAAGUUUGCUAAUCCCUGGAUUAGCCCAUUACAACCCUGGAGGAAGGACAUGUCAUAAGCUUGAUUUUAUGGAUUAGGAACUGAGGUCCGAGCGCAGUGUCUGCCACAAGGUUGGGUCUCCAUACGUAAUAUCUGGGUCUUAUUCCUCCUCUUCUGCCCCAUGGGGAGCUGCCAACUCCUGUUCCCUUUCCCUAUCCUGCAUGGAUCAUAAGUGGAUAAUUUGAAUCCCGCAGAGGAAGGAAUGCUGUUUGAAGGUCAGGUCAAUGGAAAGAGUCCUAUUUUCAGGUCAAUUUGGACCUUGCCAAAGCCUCUUCCUUCUGGUGACCUUAGCUGAGAGGUCUGCCACUAGCAGGUGCUUCAUGAACAGUUGCUGAACAAGUGGUGUGCAUCAUGCUCCCGCUGUGAACUUCAGCUUGCUUGAAGGCGGAUUCCUCCAGGUAAUUGCAGGAGACCCCACGGCCGGCCACACACCACCGUUGGGAUGAAAGAUGGCCUCGAGCCAUCGGUGGGAGAACACCCUGGGCAGGGAGAUGCUUUCUAGAGCUCCACGGAAGUGGGGGAGGGGAUCUCACUGCCCGCCAAGCAUGCCCUGGAGUCUUUGUCCCUUCCUCCCUCAUGCUGGAGGCCUGCAGGUACCUGGCUUGAGACGUUGCCUGGCCCUCAAAACACCCAGGUUCCCCCCAAGCUCCUCCCCAGCCUCCUCCCUGCUGACCUUGGGGAGCUCCCGGUUUGCCCUCAGCCCUUUUCUGGAGGCCCCAGAAUCACCAAGAGGAUACCCUGGAGCUCCUCCCCAGGUUGGACCUGCUGCUAGCAUGAGAGGGAAGAAGGGGGACACAGACACCAAAGACAGUUCUCGUCCUCAUCUAAAUGCUGGCGACUUCCAAGGGCACCUCCCCAAGGCCUCCCCUGAGCCUAGACUCAGGGGUCUCCACCCACCUGUCUCUGUCCCUGCUGGGAUGACCAGGAGAAGCCUCAAACCCAGGUUGGCCAGGACUCCAUUCCUGAUCUGCCCCCCGAAGCCAGUCCUGCCUCUACUGAUGGCUCCUGCAUCCUCCAGGUGGUCCCCCAAACCUGGGAGUCUCCCCUGCCUUCUUCUUCUCACUUGCUCCCACAUCUGAUCGCUCAUCACAUCCUGUCGACUCCACCUUCAAGGUAGACCCGGAGUCUGCCCUCGUCUCCCCACCUCCACGGCCCCCGCUUCGGCCACGGCCACCAGCACCACCGCCUGGACUGGUGCAGUCACUUCCUCCUGGCUUCCUUUUCUCCCUCAGCCCCUCACAGUCUGUUCUCCACACACGACCAGAGGGACCUGUCAGAAGGGACCUAUACCUUCCAGCACAGACCCUCCCAGGGAUCCCAGCUCUCUGAGUGAAAGCUCCCUGUGGCCCGUGAGGCCGGGUGCGACCCUGGCCCCCCAGCAAACCCUCCACUUGUCUGAUGACCUCGCUGCCUCUCUCCCUCGCGUACUCCCUUCCAGCCCUGAUAGCUUCCUGCUGUUCCUCAAGAAGCCCUGGGUCUUUCCACCUCAAGGUCUUUGCAGGUCCCUGGAGCCCUUGUCCACCAUGGAUGUCCACGGCUCCCUCACCUCCUUCAGGUCUGAGCUCGGAUGCCACUCUCGACAGCCACCUUCUCUGACCCUUCCCCUGGCUUAAGUAGCCUCUGCCUGCUCGACAAUCUCUCCCUCUACGCCCCUGACCAUCCCGUGUUCUUUUUUCAUAGGGGGAGGGGAAAGGCACUCCCAGGAGAGUGGACAGUGUGGGCCAGGGCCUGGACGUGUGGGCAGCAAGAGGGUGGGUGAGGGGAGAGUGGUGGAGCCUGGGUGGCUGAGCUUCAGGGGGAGGCAUCCUCCAGGCAGGAGUGAGCAGGCCAGGGUCACCCUGACUCCGUCAGCCACUGGUUGUGUGACUUCAGGGAGCUCUCUCUGGACCCAAGAACCUGCAACUGCUGUUGGAGACCCACUAAGUGGACCUGUCAUCUGACAGAGGGGGAAACUGAGUCUCCAAAGCUGCUGCUGUGACCUGCUGAAAGGGUCAGCCCAGGGAUAGGGACAAACCAGGGGCUUCUAGCAGUCACUUGCACCUCAGUGUGAGUGAGCUCCCUGGAUUCUUGGCUGUCUGGUAGCCCCUAGACCCCAUGGGGCUUGGGAGGCAGAGUGAUGGCAGGGCUGAGCCUGGGGUGGAGUCAGGGCUGUGUCAAGUCCCGGCCCAGCCUCUGUCCCGGCCCCUGGCUCCCUGCAGGGUGCUGGAUUGCACAAUCAUACCACCCACAGCUGUGACCAAGGCAGGUGACACACGCUUUCUGGGAGCCACCCUUGGGCCGUGCAGCCUCGUCACACACACAGGGCCACCGAUGGCAUGGAUGCACCCCGGCACAUCCUGACUGCGAGGAGUGACUGCUCCUCACACUGCCACUUCCGGGCUGUGUGACUCUGGGCAAGUCACUUCCCCUCUCUGAGCCUCUUUUCCUCUUCUGUAAGAGGAGGUAAUAUAGUGCCUGCUCCCCUGGCUGUUGGAGGGAUUGACUCUGCCCCCGCCAUGCUGGCCCUCUGGCUGGUCCUCAAAUGCACCGGGCAUGCCCCACCCAGGGCCUCCACCUGCGCCCUUCCCUUUGCUUGGGCCGGCCCUUGCACCUCCUUCAAGUCUCUGCUCAAACGUCGCAGCUCAUGAGGCCUUUCCUGCCCCUGACACUCCCUCCUUACUGAAUUCCUCCCUGCAUCUCUCAGUGCUACCUGACUCAUCAUGGUUCCUGCUUGUUUUGUCUACCCGCUCCUGGGUGGCAGCUCCAUCUUUGUCUCUCUUGGUCAUCACUGUGUCCCCAGAUCCCAACAAAGCACCUCGUACAAGAAAGUGCUCAGUCCAUAGUUGCAGAAUAAAUGAAUGAAUGAAUGAAUGAAUGAAUGAAUGGAAAGUGCUUAGCUCCACGCCCGACCCUUAGUAAGCACCUGAAACCCAAUGCCGUGUGGUGGUGUUAGCUUUGGCUCCCGAUUUCUAGCCCCAUCCAAUCCCACCCUCAUCAGCCCGGCGCCCGUGCUUUCUCUGCCUGGCCAGCUUCCUGCUGCCUGCACAGUCUCCUCCCUGGGUCAGGACGACCUCUGAGGGAAUCGUGGGCCUGCACGGCUGGCUCCCUCUGGCUCUGCCUCCAGCUCCUCUUACAUCUCCCGGGGGCAGAGGCUUCUGGGAAACAGGCUUUGAAGCUCCCCUGGGUCAGACCCGCUGGGGCCUUCCUUAGGCAUUGCCUGAUGUGACCCCAUUAGUGAACAAAUGGGGACAGUGAGACCUAGAGAGGGGCAGCCAUGUCCGAUGUCAGGCUUCGGGGCUCCCAAAACAUCCAGGGAAGCUUCCAGGACUCUGGCUUCUUUGUUGUUUUUGGAACAGAGCUGAGCUCAGGUGCCUGUUUUCUAGAUGACAAAACUGAACCCCGUUACAGGCUUUGGAGCCAGGUUUGAAUCUCAGUCCUCUUACUUCCUGGCUGUGUGAUCGAGGUUUGUCACUUGGUCCCUCUGAGGCUCAGCUUCCUUGUCUGCAAAAUGGCACCCUAAUGGUACCCAACUCACGGAGGUGUUUGGGGGGACAAGGUCAGCCAUCCUGCAGGCAGGUGGGGUCUCUGGCCUCUCCCACGGGGUCCUGGGACUCCUGGCUCCGGAACCCCCAAGGCCCAGCCCCUCCAGGGCCCGCAUGGUUCCCUCCUUGCUGGGAUAAUUUACAGUCCCAGGGCCAUAGCUGCUGUUGCUUUAUUUUUUUCCCUUCCCCGACUUCUCCCUUCCUCACCCUGGCCUCACUUCUCCAGAACCAGCUUGUUUUUGUUUUCUGUUUUUACGGCUCCAUAAAUGAGUCACGGGUCUGAUUUGAUUUAAUUUCGUUGUAAUUGUUAUCUUUUCAAGCUUGUUUUUUUCCACUCGGUUACUCACGAGACCACAAAAACCUAAACAGGACGGGGCCUUCCCCAGCCCGGCCUCCUGGUCCCCCGGGACUCCGGGCCAGGGUCAGCAGCUCCUGGAGACUGAGGUGGGGUCUGUGGAGCUUCUGUGGGGAGGGACUUGGUGUCCCCAGCAGGACUGGGUAUCCCGAGUCCCGGGCUGCAGCUCUGUUGCUGGACAGCCUUGAGAGAAUUGUUCGAGCUUUCUGAUUUCCCCAGCAUCCUCCUUAGCAGGCUUUAGAACAGGGAACCAAAACCCAGGCACCUCUGGGCCAGAAGGUGAAAGGAUGAGUAAGGUGGCCUGGUGCUGGCUCCGGUGAACUGGAGAGAACAGGCUCUCCUCAGGGGACGGUGGCCUCUGAGCCAGCAGGCGGCCCGGAUCUUCCCAUUUAGUAAGAGAAGCCAGAAGUCUGAGAUUGUAUGUGAAAAGUCCUGAUUUUUAAAUGUUGGCCAACGAGUCAAAUUAAAAACAAAUAAACAAAACCUGACUCUGUGGAUAUCUGUGGCCCCGUGGGCCACCUCUGGUCUAGAAGGUUCCAAUUCUAGCUGCGGCAGCCGUGUUCUCAGUCCUUCCACCCUUCUGCCUGAGCAGUCCCCUCUGCCUGAAACUCUCUCCUUCUUCCUCCUCAUCUCAGUCACUCUCAUUCUCUGAACCUCGGUGUGUCUCCUGUUCGCAGCUCAGAAGAGAUGACAUCUGCUUCAUCCAUGUUCGCCUUCCCAAGGCGCCUAGUUGUUCCCAAUUCACUUUUGUUUCUAUGCUUUCUCUUCCAUGGAGGGUCUGUCUUGUUUGAGACCGCCUUCGUAGUGGGGGAAAUUAGCCCCUUAGUUGUUAAAAGUCAUAACACAUAUCCUGCCUGUCUUAUCAUUCAUUUCUAAAAUGGGGCACGAUACUUCUUUGGUCAUUUAAAAACCGAAGACGCGAGGCCGACGCCUCCAGGGAUGUGCGCUGGGCGGUAGGAGCCAGGUGUGGGGCCAAGGAGUGGGGGCGGAGGAGGAAGCCAGGUCCCCAGCCAGGGGGCUGAGGGCUGCUCCUCCAAAGCUUGGGUAUGGACAUGUGACCAGGGCCCACCAAUCACAUGCAGCCAUGCCAGAUUUAUGAAUCAGAAGUUGGAAAUGUUGGGGGCUGAUUGCUUAGGACUCCGUUCUGGGGUGGGUGGGGCUGCAGCCCGGCUAUUUUUCCAGAAGCUGCAGUGGGCCAGUUCUGGGGGCAGUGACCAGGGCUCAGCGGUGGCCACAGUGCAGAUGGAAUCAUUUUGCAGAAAUGACCCUCCCCGUGAUUAUGUCAGGAAUGUCAAGUACAAUGAAAAGAACACUGCAUUGUGCAGUCAUGCAAUUUGGU